CAGCUGCAGGUAAACUUCGUCCGGACUCCUACGGGAGCCGGACUUCGCAUCUGACCUUAAUUGCAGGUAGAUUUUGUCCGGACUCCUACGGGAGCCGGACCUCGCCCACGGCUUCACCUGCAAAUCUCGUCCGGACUCCUACGGGGGUCGGACUCCGCCCCUGACUCCAAUUGCAGGCAGACUUCGUCCGGACUCCUACGGGAGCCAGACCUCACCCCCGACUCCAAUUGCAGGCAGACUUCGUCCGGACUCCUACGGGAGCCGGAUCUUGCCCACGGCUUCACCAGCAGACUUCGUCCGGACUCCUACGGGAGCCAGAUUUCGCCCACGACUCCAGCUAAACUUCGUUCGGACUCCUACUGGAGUCGGACUUCGCAUCUGACCUUAAUUGCAGGUAGACUUCGUCCGGACUCCUACGGGAGCCGAACCUAGCCCACGGCUUCACCAGCAGACUUCGUCCGGACUCCUACGGGAGCCGGACUUUGCAUCUGACUUUAAUUGCAGGUGGACUUCGUCCGGACUCCUACGGGAACCGGACCUCGCACCUGACUUUAAUUGCAGGUGGAUUUCGUCCGGACUCCUACGGAAGCCGGAUCUCGCACCUGACUUUAAUUGCAGGUAGAUUUCGUCCAGACUCCUACGGAAGCCAGACCUCGUCUCCAACUUCGGCUACGGGAAGACUCCGCCCGGAAUCCUACGGGAGCCGGACUUCAUCCUCGACCUCGACUGAUGGUAAAACUUCAUCCGAACUCCUACAGGAGCCGGGCUCCACCCUCUGCUUCGCUUACAGGUGAACUUCGUCUGGACUCCUACGGGGGUCGGACUUCGCCCCUGACUUUAAUUGCAGGUAGACUUCGCCCAGAUCCCUGCGGGAGCCAGACCUCAUCUCCGACUCCGGCUACGGGAAGACCCCACCCGUAUUCCUACGGGAGCCGGACUUCACCCCCGACUUUGACUGAAGGGAGAUUCCAUCCGAACUUCUGCGAGAGCCGUACUUCUAGCUCCUCUCAGACGGGUGGCUAGCCACCUCUCUCCGCCAUACACCCUAGCCAAACUCCGAUCGAUAGGCUCCAUCACUCCCUGGCAGACCGCAAUAACGGCCACGGCGCUGCUCCACUUCCUGCGACGGAUUUCACGCGACUCCAUCACUUCCUGGCAGACCGCAGUAACGGCCACGGCGCUGCUCCACUUCCUGCGACGGAUUCCACGCGGCUCCAUCACUCCCUGGCAGACCGCAGUAACGGCCACGACACUGUCUCACUUCCUGCGACGGAUUCCACGCGGUUUCAUCAGUCCCUGGCAGGCCACAAUGAUGGCCACGAUCCUGCUCCACUUCCUGCGAUGGAUAUCGUGCGAUUCUUCCAUUCUCUGGCAAGUCGCGACAAUGGACGUCGUUUCGCCCCUCGUGGCAGACUCCACAUGGCACGUCCCGGUGAUAGCCACGGGUCCACUCCACUACUCUCCGCAACAAACUCUUCCUGACUCUGGGCGGCCCACUACCAGACGGUUACGGACAUCGCUAUCAGUUUGUUGCCCCCUCCGCCUAUAAAAAGGGGUCCUCAGAUACGUUAUUCUCUAAGCUCUAUUUUUCUAUCUCAAAACUCUGCUAAAAUUUCUGUUCGAGCACUCCAUUCUUGUUGAGGCAGAGAACUGACUUGAGCGUCGGAGGGUCUUGCCGGAGCAACCCCACCUCCGGUUUAGACUUUUUUUGCAGGUCCCGACGGCGACCGCGACUUUCUCGACUCCCGCUUCGUCGACGCAAGCGAAUUUUUGCACCAACACUAACCAUUUGUUUUGAGUUUGAACCUUUCAAAUUAAAUGGAUAACUUCCUAGCAACUUAAUUUAAAUUUGAACACUUCAUAUUUAAAUUUAAAUAGAAUUUUUUAUCCUCAUUCCUUAUCCACUAGGGUGUGCCUCCAUUUGACAUUCAAAUGGAAUGUGCAUCCCUUUAUUCUCUCGAGAGGAAUCAUCGAUAAACAAGUGGGGCGCCAACACUUGGCACUCUUCCUCCAUAUCCUUUCUUUAGGACAAUAAUAACAACCCAUUCAAAAUUGAAUGGGUAACAUCCAUAUCCAAGCAACUUUCCAAUUGGAUUAGGCUUAACCCUAUCUUAUAGGAAAUCCAAUCGAGAGAAAUCUAGGUCAAAUUAUGUACUAGCAUGAAUAUCUUAG
rnacentral:lncRNA from 1 species